AUAGAGUACAGAGGGAUUGGAAACGGGGUAUCUCCGUAUACAUCGCUAGGAUACGGAUGCUAGUUGACAUUUGCAUCUAGCAACGCCUAGCAACGGAGGCUGUCUUUGAGCUAGAACUGUCUUUUUGAGACCUGUCAUUCCAGCAGUGGUGUCACUAUACGUCAUUAUUUAUAUCAAAGGAGGCAGAAGAGACUGUAGUGUUAGACAGAAGACAAUAACUGAUUCACCCACU